AUUGUACUCCCUCGUUCGGAAAAUACUUGUCAUAAGAAAUGGAUGUAUCUAGAUGUAUUUUAAUUUUAGAUACAUUCAUUUUUAUUCAUUUAUGUGAUAAGUAAUUUUGGACGGAGAGAGUACCAA
rnacentral:pre_miRNA from 1 species